rnacentral:rRNA from 1 species
GACGAACGCUGGCGGCGUGCUUAACACAUGCAAGUCGAACGGAAAGGCCCUGCUUGCAGGGUACUCGAGUGGCGAACGGGUGAGUAACACGUGGGUGAUCUGCCCUGCACUUCGGGAUAAGCCUGGUCAACUGGGUCUAAUACCGGCUAGGUGCCAUUUUUAGUCUGAUGGUUGGAAAGUUUUUUCGGUGUAGGGUGAGCUGGGUGCCUAUCGGCUUGUUGGUGGGGUUAUGUCCUACCAAGGCGGCGUCGGGUAGCCGGCCUGUGAGGGUGGCCGGCCACACAGAGACCGAGAGAAGGCAGAGACACCUAAGGGAGGGAGAAGGGGGGAAGAUUGCACAAUGGGCGCAAGGCUGAUGCAGAGACGCCGCGGGGGGGAUGACGGUGUUCGGAUUGUAGAAUAAAUUCGCAAGGGACGAAGCAUGUCGUGACGGUACCUAGAUAGGAAGCACCGGCUAACUACGUG